UACGGAGGGUGCGAGCGUUGUCCGGAAUCACUGGGCGUAAGGGGCGCGUAGGCGGCCUGAUAAGUAGGGGGUGAAAUCCUGCGGCUUAACCGCAGGGCUGCCUUCUAAACUGUCAGGCUUGAGCACAGUAGAGGCAGGUGGAAUUCCCGGUGUAGCGGUGGAAUGCGUAGAGAUCGGGAAGAACAUCAGUGGCGAAGGCGGCCUGCUGGGCUGUUGCUGACGCUGAGGCGCGACAGCGUGGGGAGCAAACAGG
rnacentral:rRNA from 1 species